CGCCUCCUCCAAUCUCUCGCAUGUCCCCUCUGCCAUGUUUGUAGGGUCGUCGACCAUGGAACGACCCCUUCCGGAAUAUCGCCGUCAACCUCCCUACUGCCUCCGCGGGGAGGGUCUCCGUCAACGUCGCUGCCACUGCCGUCACUCGACCGCCGUAGCAUCCUUCUUUGAGUACCACCCCGUUCCAUCCAGGGAACUCUUUCCUGAAGCGCAUUGCUUUGGUUCGCUCUGUCCAGAAUAAUGCACUGAAAAUGAAAAUAAUGCAGGGAACGCGUCAUGAAAUAGCAGUUGCGUUGCAAGUACAAUUCACAUCAUCAGUGCAACAGAGAGGUUAAAGAUGAGGUUGAGGUUAUCACUUGGCGUCAAGAAAUUGUAUAAUAUUCCUCCAAAUGAAGUGCUCAUGAUUAGGAGCAAAAUUCAAGAUCCGGGAUCCACGUGAGAUGCAAGAGCCUUUGCUCUAUUCAAGG